GAUUUAUUUUCACCUGAUCAGCCUGGAGAAGGUUGUUAAUUUCUUCAGCUCCAGGCAAUUGCUUUGAUUGAUUGAUCAGGUCAGUUGAUCAUCAGGAUUAUGGUGAGACAGCUUGAAAUACACAAGGAAUUUCUUAUUUGAAUUCAGCAAACUUAGAGAAUUCAGUGUAACUGAAACAUUUUAAGAGUUUUAAACUGGUAUUCUCUUUAACUGAACUUUUAGUCAUUUGUGUAGUUGCCUCUAUUAAGGAAACUAGUCAAUUAAAAGAUUAACUAGCUAAUCUAUAGACUGAAUUAUCAUGGUUUUAGACUAAAGAAAAUUAUUUUAAUUAUUGAAAUGUAGAACUAGUCAAACGAUGGAGAUUUAUUGGGUCAUAAACUCAGGGCUCUUUACCAUCAUGCUUAUCUUCUAUAGAACACUCUCCAACUUAUCAGUGUUCUUCCUAAAAUGGCGCACUCAAAAGGGAACCCAGUUAUCCAGGAAUGGACAACUAGAGAGACUUCAGUCUCCUCAUCUGUAAAAUGGACAUAAUGAUGUCUGUCUUGUGACUUCAUAGGAAUGUUAUGAGGAUUAAAGGAGAUUCUCAACAACAACAACAAAAGAUAAUGAUCUUUUGAGGACUGACAAAUGGCAAAUUCCCAUAUUUGAACUCUAAAUAUCUUUAAGAUUCCUCCCAAAACUCUGGGCUAUUAUCAAAGCUUGAACUGUUGCCACUAAUCAACUGAAAGUAGCAUCCAUUGAUCCAUAGAAACUCAAGAUUGGUAUUUUGGUUUUUUAACUUUUUUAAGGUUGUUAUAUGGACUUGAGAAAUAUAGACAAAAAUGAACUUUAUACAUAAAGAACAGAAAAAGAAGAUUAUAUGUGAUACCACAGAUCUCUGCUAUCCUGGGAUGGUUUCUUUUUAAAACUUGUAUUAAAUUUGUUCUGGUCAUUCCAAUACCUCUCUCCUUGUCCCUCCUGUCCUCAGUGUAUUUUGUUUUGUUUCACUUCACUAUCCUGCCUUCUCUUCCCCAAUAACUUACCUUCCCUGACCUCCAUUCAAAAAAAAAAAAUUAAAGCCCUCUCUUGAAACAAAUGAGUACAGUUGAGCAAAGAAGAUCUAUGUAUCAGCUGUCUCAAAAUGUCUGUUCCUUUUUCUGCACCUCAAGCCCCUCCCUCACAUCUCUGCCAAAAGUUGGGAUGGCCGAGUCAUCACAGGUCCUGUAGAGACCUGAUUGUUUAUUACAUUGAUCAGAGAUAUCAGAUCUUUAACAGUCAUUUGAUUUUACAACUUUGAACUCUUUGGACAAAUUGUUUUCCUUGUUCUGCUCAUUGUAAUAUUCAGCAUCAGUUCAUACAGAUUGCUCUGAAUCUGUACGUUUUGUCAUUCCUAUGGCACAAUAACAUUCCCUUACAUUCAUACCACAGUUUUUUAGCCAUCCUCUCACUGAUGUGCAUUCACUUUGUUUCCAGCACUGGAGCUCGAAUAUUUUUGUGCUUAUGAGUCCUUUCCCUCUUUCUCUGACCUCUAUGGAGGUCAAAGCUAGUCAUGGUAUCACUAGGUCAAGAAACGUGCAGAAAUUGUUGUUUUUUUAGGUACAAUUCCAAAUUGCUAAGAACAAUCUUUUAAAGGGGUACUGCCAAAGACACAGUCUCUAAGCUACUUGGAAUGAAAAGCUUUCGAAAUAUAGAGAUUUAGCAAGGGAGAUCAAAUCCAUGUGGGAACAAAAUGAAUGAUGGCUGUAACAGUCUUGUUUUCUUCUCCGCUCCUAGAUUUGGGCCAAAGAUGCUUUCAGUGCAAUGCAUGCUAUCUUUCACUUCAGUGUAUUUAUGGUUCUAUUGAGGGGUUUUGGUUUUGUAUGAGAGUGCUCUUUCAGCAAUGACCAAUAUGCAAAUGGGUUUUACAUGAUAAUAAAAAUAAU
rnacentral:lncRNA from 1 species